rnacentral:lncRNA from 1 species
UCAAUUUUGGAAACUGGUUUUUUCAACCGUUGGAGGCACCCUUAGUUCGAGCUCGAUUCGUAUUCGGUUCGUUAAUUAUUCGUUUAUCUCGAGCUCGAACUCGGCUCGAAUUUGGCUCGAUUUUGGAGCUCGAUUUUAAAUUCGAAUUCAGGAGAAUUGGAGAAUUGUGGCUCUUUCACUGACGCAACUUACGCGGUGUGGUGUGAGCGGGGUCGGGAACGAAUGAAGGAGGUGGUGCUGUUGUUGUAGAGUGGAUGGCGCCACUGCUUCUGUUAUCGCCGACUCGCCGAGAGAUAGGAGAAUUGUGGCUCUUUCACUGACGCGCCCGACUGAGACAGAGGAAGGCGGCGGAGCUGUUGUUGUAGAGGAGAAGGCGGCGCUGUGAACUGACGACGCUGUCGCCGAGAGAGAAGAGAUGUGCGGUGGCUGAAUUUUGAAGUUGUAGAGGAGAUGUGCGGCGCAGCGGAGCUGUUGUCGAGAAUUCAAAUUGAAGUCUGUAGGGUUAGGGAAGGAAUAGCCGAAUAGGAUUCUAAUUCAAUUUUGUUAGAAUUAAAGUUAAG